rnacentral:rRNA from 1 species
CAGUAGGGAGGAAGGUAGUGUAGUUAACACCUGCAUUAUUUGACGUUACCUACAGAAGAAGCACCGGCUAACUCCGUGCCAGCAGCCGCGGUAAUACGGAGGGUGCGAGCGUUAAUACGGAAUUACUGGGACGUAAAGCGCAUGCAGGCGGCCUGUUAAGUCAGAUGUAGAAAGGCCCGGGGACCGUUUAACCCGUACCGGUAAAGUUGCUAUUUAGUAAACGUGGCGAGGCUAGAGUCUUGUAGAGGGGGGUAGGAAUUUCAGGUGUAGCGGUGAAAUGCGUAGAGAUCUGAAGGAAUACCAGUGGCGAAGGCGGCCCCCUGGACAAAGACUGACGCUCAGAUGCGAAAGCGUGGGGAGCAAACAGGAUUAGAUACCCUGGUAG